GCCCUGCAAACAUCUAGAAACCAAGCCUUGAGGCGAAGAAUGCCCCAGUUGGCAUGUGUCAGGUGUCCAGCACUCAGAGAGGAGUUGAGGGAUGGCUGGAAGAUCUAUCGGAGGACAGAAAGCCAGGUGAAACAGGCAUUAGUGUGGAUUUUUCUACAUUCAGCUGGAGGCCCAGGUCCAAAAACGGGGAAAGCACUGUCCUUGUGGCAGACAACAUUUCUUGGCAGACAACAAUUCAAGUAGCCAGUCGUUGAAGUACGGGACUACCACUAUAGCCUGGCAACACAGAAGUAUAGGUGCCUAAUGAGCGAAAUGUAGCCCUGGAAACUUUAAAGACUCAUCAAUGUUCUUUGCAAACAACUUCCGUCCAUCAAAUGGGAGAGCCUCAACCGUUUAUGAACUUCCUGGGGAAGCCAGAUAACUGCAGCCAGGAUGCCCUACAAUGAACUGCCAACAUCACCAUCCAUCAUCAAAGGCUAUAGAUGCUAACAUUUGACAAGACAUGAAAGUCCAGGAUUGCAAUGGAAAAGAAGAUCAAAAUAAAAAUGUGCCAUGUGGAGGAGAGGGGGAAAUGGACCUCAUGCUUCUGCAUUUCUGAUAG